UACGUAGGGGGCAAGCGUUGUCCGGAAUCAUUGGGCGUAAAGAGCGUGUAGGCGGCCAGAUAAGUCCGCUGUGAAAUCUCGAGGCUCAACUUCGAGCUGUCGGUGGAAACUGUCUGGCUAGAGUCCGGAAGAGGAGAAUGGAAUUCCUGGUGUAGCGGUGGAAUGCGCAGAUAUCAGGAAGAACACCAACGGCGAAGGCAGCUCGCUGGGACGGAACUGACGCUAAGGCGCGAAAGCGUGGGGAGCGAACAGG
rnacentral:rRNA from 1 species